CCCCGCGACCCCGGGGCUGCCCUGCUCUUCCUUUCCUGCUCCCUGAGGACAAGCUCAGCGGCGUGGGCGCUGCUCCCUGGGCUGAGAGCCUCCGGCUGUAAAGCCCAGCUUCUGGUGGAGUCGGGAAAGUGGAUCCUCAGUGCUGAGCGAGCUUCUGUCUCCUCCCUCAGUGUUUCUGCCCCAGGGCCUGCAACAUGAGCAUCCCUGACUACGUGCAGUGUGCUGAGGACUAUGAGACUCUUCCCGUGGUGGUCAAACCAGUGGGGAUCAUCUCAGAGGAGAAUUUCUUUUGCAUCUAUAAGCGAAUCUCCUUGGUGAGCCAGAUCAGCCCAUGCAGCUCCCAGGGCGCACUCUGUAUGCACUACAGGCACCACUAUGCGCCCAAGAAUGGAUGGAGCGGCUUCCAGACCCACCGCAUGGUUGUGGGCCUUGUCACCAUUACCGACUGCCUCUCGGCCAAGGCCUUCGAGAAGCUCCACGUGCAGAGGAGCUGUAUGGCAUCACGCUUAAUGACUCUCAGCUCUUUGUCUUUGUGCUGCAUGGGGAGGUAGCCAAGCAGCCGCGCACCGACGUGGCCUUCAAUCUACGAGGACUGCAGGGUAGUGAAGAGGAUCGAGGACUUCACUGAGUCACUCUUCAUCUUGCUCAAGUCCAAGUGGCUGGAUGGGGCCCCUGACAAGCCUGGGGACAAGAUCCCACUCCUCUGCAUGCCAUUUGAGAAGGAGGACUUCAUGGGACUGGACACAGACUGCAGGGCCCUGUGAUCUACAUGCCCGCGCUCCCCAUCUGCUCCUUGGAGUUGAGGUGUCAGGUUUAGGAGCCUGGGCACUGCUGAGGGCACAGCUGCCAGCACCGUGCUACACCGAGGCUGGCUCCGUUCACCUCACAUGUCACCUCCUGCUGAGCCCCCAGGCGUCAGUCAAGUACGUUUUGGUUACUGAGACCCUCGAAUUCCCAUAUGAAGUGUAGCAGCAGCUAGUCAGUUACUGCAGAGGAGCCCACUGGGAUUGUAAUCGAGACCACGUUGAAUAUAUGGAUCGCUCUGUGGAGCACUGACAUUCCAAGAGCGCUGUCAUCUGAUCCAGGAAUGUGCGUGGUGUGUCUGU